AAGUGAACAAUAUAUAUGGGCAAAUAACAGAGAAUGGGACCUGCCCAAAUGGAUGAAUUUAGUUUUUCAUCCAUUCAAAAUCCAUCGUCCUCCUCCAGUACAACCUCACUACGUGUCUUGUCCACUCCCCUCCUAUCCUGGUUCCAUAGCACUGGGCACCAAUCCCAACAUCACACUCAGAAUGGCUUAGCUCCGUUAGAUCUUCUUCAUCGGAACGAACGACCUAGAUUUUCCAGACUCUUCUUCUCGCCUUUCGUAUCAGUUUCAUGUCGGGCUCACGUGGCAAUUUUCGGUCUCAUUGACUUUGUUCAAACCUCCGACGACGAUGCAAUCGAAAUCUUCGAAUGGAUCAGGAUUCUCGAAGAGCGUGAUUCAAGGAUACUUGUAGUGCCCACCUUCACCAAGAUGCCUGCAAUGGCAAGCUCUAGAGAACAAUGGCUUCUGUAGAGAAAUAAAGACUAAAAAACCCAGAAAGAGAAACGAAAAAUAUAACAAAAUCAGUGCUGUUUAUGAUGAGAUUGGCUAUUCGACUUAAGGUUCAUAUAUAUAUAUUUUUUGUUCAAGUUGGAAAAUCUAGAUAGGAAUAAGAUCCACAGUAAAGUGACGUGGUGCUGGAAAGAUUUUAGUCUCAACAAUUUUUAUCUAUAUUAAGUUUUUUCCACCGAUCCUGGACCCUCUCAUCAAUCACAGUUGGGAAAGAGAAUAUUUUGUUCGGUUGUUACUGGAAAGGAGUAGAAGUGCAUCGGUGCCCAUUGAUAGUGAAUAAUAAUGUGAUAUGGACCCAGACUGAUGGGGAUUAGGGUGUAUGCGACUGCGAAUAGACUGGUACUGUUCGUUACUGUUCGUAUUCGACGCAUCCGAGAAAGCGUCGCUAACUCGUAGAUGGGUGUUGCAGUUGUGCCGCGUCGACGCAUUGUGAGUGCUGGUACAUUUUCCACCUUGGAGGAGAGAAGUGACGGUGGUGAAAUCAGAGCCUAGCAAGGGUUCGAGUCUGGAUCUUUCUACGCUGCUCUGAGGCUGGAAAGGGGUCGAUGACGCAGAAGAAGAAGAAGAAGGGCCGUAUCGAUUAUUCAGCACAACUCUGCACGAGGCUAAUAUUGAGGCGUACCGCGACGUCAACGAUUCCUGCACCCAGCGCGACUUUUCAAACCAGCCAUGUCCGCCUAAUUAUUUGUGCCUUCAGUCAAGCUCCAUGAUCGACCCUGGAGGUCGGACCAUGCGGAUUGAAUAUUUCGGACUCUAACAGCUGGGAGGGAUCCCAUCAGAUUGUACCGCGUGGUCCGUUCCUGAUGCAGCUGCGGCUCUUCGGGCAUCAAUACUUACACCACGAGGUCUAUUUCACAGGCUAUAUUACUUAACUUGGGGCCGUUCUUGCUACGUACGACAGCUGGUCCAUACAUUUAAAAUGCAUUCUGGACGUGGUUCUCGAGGUCCAAUGGUCAGGUGUGGUACCAGCACAGGCUCUCAUUAUUCCAUGACAGGAUAUUCCAUGCACUAGCCUUGGUCAUUGAUUCUAUGUUAGCCCGGGAUGUACACAUCACGGAUAUAUGACGGUCAGAGCACGUUCCGUGCUAUGUCGUCGAUUUUGGCCAGAUGAUCCCAUCACUCUCCUCGUCUGAUUCAAUGAAAGGAGGGGGAUCGGCAGUUGGUGUAAACUCAGCUGCACUAAGUGGACAAACUACCAAUCUGAAACCGACGCUUUGGGGUUAAGCAAUAUGAGGUUUGAUUUUGGGAAAGCAUAGGGUCUUGGAUGGUUCUU